CUUUUGGCCUAAAGAAUUUGGGAAUGCAACAGCCAAUCUGCUCUGAAACAAUUAGUGAAGGUCCCUGUGCCAGCAAGCAGAGCCCUCUUGGUUUGGCAGGAAAAAGAAAAGGCAACAGAACAAGUCAGAAUGUCUCUAGCAAUGGGGUAGAAGACAUUCAAGGAGAGAUCAGGAAGCUCUGGUUUAUAAUGGGAUGAAGGGGUGCACAGCUGUAACCUGGUGAGGCUGAAGUUAGUCAGUGAGUUCUAUAAUUAGGAAAUAAAUAGCGUGCUAAAUAAACCCAGAGCUGAAACUUCUGAAGAGAGCGACAGAGCUGGAAGUUGGCAAUGAGCAACUGAAUGAGAAUGUGAUGGAAAAAUACUGAGCAGGUGGGCCACGUGCCACCUCCACGGAUGGUUUGUAUGAUGCAGCCGUUCCCCCAUCCCUGGCAUUUGACUCUUUACGUUGUCAGCUCCCCAGGACAGAAGGCUGGUCUAUUUAGAGAUCUGCAAAGUGCUCAUUACGCUUUUAGAUACCAUUUUCAGAGAACACGUAAGAGUCCAAAGAGCACCGUGCAUCCAGAUCCAACGGGCUCUCAAACAGCAGAGUGCUGCAGCCGGCAAGGCAGCACCUCAUUGGAAUGGCAGGGAAGGCAGAGAGGAAAAAUCAUUGCCUUUGUUUCCAUCUAUAAAGCUUUUCUCUGCUCACGUGUCCCUGACAGGCACUUCACUUCCUUUCAGCUGGCAAUCGAACCCUGUCAUAAGAGACGCAUUCCCUCUUUGCUGCUGUUGCAUUGGCAGAGAUCAACACUCCAAAGUUUCCUCCAGCAAAAAGGUUUCCUGAGAGGUUCAAACUUCCUGCGUGUCUUUAAGUUCAUCGGGGCAUCGUGAGCUGGCUGAGCAGGAGAAAAGCCGGGCCAGUGAAAUGAAGUAGAGAAGUCUGAAAUCCUUGUGGUGGCAGCAGCCAAAAGAGAGAGGGAUGUGAAGGUCACUGCACAGGUUCCUCCUUCCCCAUCUGGAGAAUCAGCAGCUUUUCACCGCAUCCCUUCUUCUUGCAAUAACCAGACAGCUCAGCAGUUGGGCCCAGCGUCACCUCCAUGCGUGAAUUUCUGCUGCCACCUAUUCAGCGUUUUCCUCCCCUGGUUCUCAGAUCUCACUCCUCAUGGUGCCUGAGCACCUCUGAUAUAAAAGGCUGCUUUACGUUUUACUUCUCCUCCUCAGCAUGAAGCGGGCAGAUAAGAGCUUGUUUUGUUUUGCUUUGCGUGCUGAAAGCAGUCUUUUAAUAGCCAAACCGGUCUGAGAAAUGCCCAGCAGCCUCAGGGGUUCAAAGUAAAAGCUCUGCCUGGAGGCUCAGCGCUGCUUCACUGUGUUUUCUUGCAGUCCUACAGUGAGCAUAAAGGUACAGCUGGAAUCAGCUGGACUGCAAUUGCGUGUAAUCAAACUCAAACAUGCCUCACAUACUCGGGUAUGUGCCUCAUACUUGGGUAACAGGCUGAUACAGGAAGUUUAUCUAAUAAAGCCUAUCUCGCAGCUUAAUCAUAA